UAUACUCUUAGAAAAUAUGUUAAUUGAAAGAGCAAGAGAAGUGACCCAAUGGCGCACCAGAGUCGUAAACCAUCUAUACUUAAAUAUAUGUGUACAAUAUUUAACUUUUCUCCAACCAAAAUACGUUUUAAAUUGGAAUAUUAGAACUGACUUCGUUUGUUAUGGGAUAUUAUCCAGAUGGAUUUAGUUAUUGUAAAUACAGAUAAUUUUAUAAUAAUUGGCCCAUUCGAUUUCAAUAAUAAGAAUUAAGCAAGUUAGACAUAGUAUUGGAUGAGAAAAGUAGAAGUCAAACAGUUAUAUGAAGGCUGUGAUCUAUUUAUUUCAAAGAACGGAUAACAGGAGGAUGGCGUUGUUUUACUUGGCUGUGUACAAAAUUAAAGUUAAAUUGUGUUAAACAUAAAAAUUUUAAUUGUGCGGAGGUAAAAUCGCAGAAAUAAUUAAAGUUUAUUUUUAUUCCACCUGAAAAUUCUGUAAAAACAGAAG